rnacentral:rRNA from 1 species
UACAGAGGUGGCAAGCGUUGUUCGGAAUUACUGGGCGUAAAGGGCGCGUAGGCGGUUCGUUAAGUCCUGUGUGAAAUCCCCGGCUCAACUGGGGAACUGCACAGGAAACUAGCGGGCUUGAGUUCGGGAGAGGGAAGCGGAAUUCCUGGUGUAGCGGUGAAAUGCGCAGAUAUCAGGAAGAACACCCGUGGCGAAGGCGGCUCUCUGGGACGGGUACCUUGGACGCUGAGACGCGAAA